UACGAAGGGUGCAAGCGUUAAUCGGAAUUACUGGGCGUAAAGCGCGCGUAGAUGGUUCAUUAAGUCGGAUGUGAAAGCCCCGGGCUCAACCUGGGAACUGCAUCCGAUACUGGUGGACUAGAGUGCGGUAGAGGAUGGUGGAAUUCCCGGUGUAGCGGUGAAAUGCGUAGAGAUCGGGAGGAACAUCAGUGGCGAAGGCGGCCAUCUGGACCAGCACUGACGUUGAGGCGCGAAAGCGUGGGGAGCAAACAGG
rnacentral:rRNA from 1 species